rnacentral:rRNA from 1 species
AACGAACGCUGGCGGCAUGCCUAACACAUGCAAGUCGAACGAGACCUUCGGGUCUAGUGGCGCACGGGUGCGUAACGCGUGGGAACCUGCCCUUAGGUUCGGAAUAACUCCCCGAAAGGGGUGCUAAUACCGGAUAAUGUCUUCGGACCAAAGAUUUAUCGCCUUUGGAUGGGCCCGCGUUGGAUUAGCUAGUUGGUAGGGUAAAAGCCUACCAAGGCGACGAUCCAUAGCUGGUCUGAGAGGAUGAUCAGCCACACUGGGACUGAGACACGGCCCAGACUCCUACGGGAGGCAGCAGUGGGGAAUAUUGGACAAUGGGCGAAAGCCUGAUCCAGCAAUGCCGCGUGAGGGAUGAAGGCCUUAGGGUUGUAAAGCUCUUUUACCCGGGAUGAUAAUGACAGGACCGGGAGAAUAAGCUCCGGCUAACUCCGUG